rnacentral:rRNA from 1 species
AAGUCUGGUGCCAGCAGCCGCGGUAAUUCCAGCUCCAAUAGCGUAUAUUAAAGUUGUUGCAGUUAAAAAGCUCGUAGUUGAAUUUCGGGGUUAGUAGGUUGGUCAUGCCUCCGGUAUGUACUGAUCUCACUGAUUCCUCCUUCCUUAUGAACCGUAAUGCCAUUAAUUUGGUGUUGCGGGGAAUUUGGACUGUUACUUUGAAAAAAUUAGAGUGUUUAAAGCAGGCUAACGCUUGAAUACAUUAGCAUGGAAUAAUGAAAUAGGACGUUCGAUCUUAUUUUGUUGGUUUCUAGGAUUGACGUAAUGAUUAAUAGGGAUAGUUGGGGGCAUUAGUAUUCAAUUGUCAGAGGUGAAAUUCUUGGAUUUAUUGAAGACUAACUACUGCGAAAGCAUUUGCCAAGGAUGUUUUCAUUAAUCAAGAACGAAAGUUAGGGGAUCGAAGACGAUCAGAUACCGUCGUAGUCUUAACCAUAAACUAUGCCGACUAGGGAUCGGAUGAUGUUAAUUUUUUAAUGACUCAUUCGGCGCCUUACGGGAAACCAAAGUGUUUGGGU